rnacentral:rRNA from 1 species
CUUGGUCAUUUAGAGGAAGUAAAAGUCGUAACAAGGUCUCCGUUGGUGAACCAGCGGAGGGAUCAUUAUAGAGUUUUCAAAACUCCCAAACCCAUGUGAACUUACCUAUGUUGCCUCGGCGGGAGCCUACCCUGUACCUACCCUGUAACGGGUUACCCGGGAGCGGCCCCGCCGGUGGACCUUUUAACUCUUGUUAUUUUAUGUAAUCUGAGAGUCUUAUUUUAAAUAAGUCAAAACUUUCAACAACGGAUCUCUUGGUUCUGGCAUCGAUGAAGAACGCAGCGAAAUGCGAUAAGUAAUGUGAAUUGCAGAAUUCAGUGAAUCAUCGAAUCUUUGAACGCACAUUGCGCCCGCCAGCAUUCUGGCGGGCAUGCCUGUUCGAGCGUCAUUUCAACCCUCGAGCCCGACUUCCUCGCGGAGGACGGCUCGGCGUUGGGGAACGGCACGCUCCCCCCGGUUCGCCGGGGACGCCGCCCCCGAAAUUCAGUGGCGGCCCUCGGAGGCGACCUCUGCGUAGUAACUCAACCUCGCAAAGGGAAGCUCCGUGCGGCCACGCCGUGGAACCCCAACUCUUCAAGGUUGACCUCGAAUCAGGUAGGACUACCCGCUGAACUUAAGCAUAUCAAUAAGCGGAGGA